GAGAGCUAGAAUUUGAAGCAGGUCUGACCAAUACCAAAGCCUGAUGUCUAGUGAAAUUCACACAAUGCUGCAAAUCUGAAGACUCUGCAGCAGAUUUUGUAGGUACUUUCAGCAGAGGAGUUUCGGAAAUGCUUUGCACAAACACAGGUUCACCAAGUGAGUGAUCACACGGGAAGACCACGUGGGAAGAUUUUAGGUUGUUUUAUUAAAGUUCAUUGCUGAGAACACAAAGGCUGAUGCCACAGAGGGGAAAACGCCAGAUCCACCACCGAACAGCUAAAGCCAUAUGCGCCUGCUCCAUGAAUGCCCAUUUUUCAUCUUUAGUGGGCUUCAAAGUUAAAUAGGACAGACAACACAAAGGAAAAUAUGACCGCAGCAAAAGACAGAAACUACACUGUGGCUACAAUUAAAUCUUCAUACCAAUCA